rnacentral:rRNA from 1 species
GACGUAGGAUGCAAGCGUUGUCCGGAUUUAUUGGGCGUAAAGAGUUCGUAGGUGGUUCGUUAAGUCCGGUGUUAAAGAUCGGGGCCCAACCCCGGGAGUGCACUGGAUACUGGCGAACUGGAGUGCAGUAGAGGCGAGUGGAAUUCCCAGUGUAGCGGUGAAAUGCGUAGAUAUUGGGAAGAACACCGGUGGCGUAGGCGACUCGCUGGGCUGUAACUGACGCUGAGGAACGAAAGCCAGGGGAGCGAAU